GAUGAACGCUGGCGGCGUGCUUAACACAUGCAAGUCGAACGAUGAAGCCCAGCUUUCUGGGUGGGUUAGUGUCGAACGGGUGAGUAACACGUGAGUAACCUGCCCUUAACUCUGGGAUAAUCCUGGGAAACUGGGUCUAAUACCGGAUAGGAGCGUGCACCGCAUGGUGGGUUUUGGAAAGAUUUAUCGGUUUUGGAUGGACUCGCGGCCUAUCAUCUUGUUGGUGAGGUAAUGGCUCACCAAGGCGACGGCGGGUAGCCGGCCUGAGAGGGUGACCGGCCACACUGGGACUGACACACGGCACAGUAUCCUACGGGAGGCAGCAGUGGGGAAUAGUGCAAAAUCGGCGCAAGCCUGAUGCAGACACGCCGCGUGAGGGAUGAAGGCAUUAGCGUUGUAAACCUCUUUCAGUAGGGAAGAAGCGAAAGUGACGGUACCUGCAGAAGAAGCACCGGCUAACUACGUG
rnacentral:rRNA from 1 species